rnacentral:rRNA from 1 species
AUUGAACGCUGGCGGCAUGCUUUACACAUGCAAGUCGAACGGCAGCGCGGGCUUCGGCCUGGCGGCGAGUGGCGAACGGGUGAGUAAUGCAUCGGAACGUGCCCAGUAGUGGGGGAUAGCCCGGCGAAAGCCGGAUUAAUACCGCAUACGACCUGAGGGUGAAAGCGGGGGACCGAAAGGCCUCGCGCUAUUGGAGCGGCCGAUGUCGGAUUAGCUAGUUGGUGGGGUAAAGGCUUACCAAGGCGACGAUCCGUAGCUGGUCUGAGAGGACGACCAGCCACACUGGGACUGAGACACGGCCCAGACUCCUACGGGAGGCAGCAGUGGGGAAUUUUGGACAAUGGGGGCAACCCUGAUCCAGCCAUGCCGCGUGCGGGAAGAAGGCCUCCGGGUUGUAAACCGCUUUUGUUCGGGAAGAAAUCCUCUGGGCUAAUACCCCGGGGGGAUGACGGUACCGGAAGAAUAAGCACCGGCUAACUACGUG